UACGUAGGGUGCAAGCGUUGUCCGGAAUUAUUGGGCGUAAAGAGCUCGUAGGCGGUUCGUCGCGUCGGAUGUGAAAGCCCUGGGCUCAACCUAGGAAGUGCAUUCGAAACUUCGGAGCUUGAGUUCUGGAGAGGAAGGCGGAAUUCUCGGUGUAGAGGUGAAAUUCGUAGAUAUCUGGAGGAACACCGGUGGCGAAGGCGGCGUCCUGGACCAACACUGACACUGAGGAGCGAAAGCGUGGGGGAGCAAACAGG
rnacentral:rRNA from 1 species